rnacentral:rRNA from 1 species
UACGUAGGGCGCAAGCGUUAUCCGGAAUUAUUGGGCGUAAAGAGCUCGUAGGCGGUUUGUCGCGUCUGCCGUGAAAGUCCGGGGCUCAACUCCGGAUCUGCGGUGGGUACGGGCAGACUAGAGUGCAGUAGGGGAGACUGGAAUUCCUGGUGUAGCGGUGAAAUGCGCAGAUAUCAGGAGGAACACCGAUGGCUAAGGCAGGUCUCUGGGCUGACACUGACGCUCACGCACGAAAGCGUGGGGAGCAAACAGG